UUGGGCUAGCGUCGCGUGUUCCUACUGGGGGUAGAGCACUGGAUGGUCUCGACAGGGAGCAAUCUCGCGAGACCAAUCAAACUCCGAAUACCAGUAGUUAGAAUGCGGCAGUUAGACUCUGGGGGCGAAGCUCCAGUGGUCAAAAGGGAAACAGCCCGGACCUCCAAUUAAGGUCCCAAAAUCUAUGCUCAGUGCAAGUAAGGAGGUGAUAUUUCUCGGACAGUGAGGAGGUUGGCUUAGAAGCAGCCAUCCUUUAAAGAAAGCGUAACAGCUCACUCACUCAGAGAUUUCGCACCGAAGAUGAUCGGGGCUUAAGCAUAGUACCGAAAUUGAGGACUGGAUGUCGCUUCGGUGACAUCCAGUGGUAGGAGAAUAUUCCAUUCUGCUGUGAAGCCAAAGGGGUGACCCAUGGUGGAGCGUAUGGAAGAAAGAAUGUUGGCACAAGUAACCGCAACGCGGGUGAGAGCCCCGCGCGCCGAAAUACCAAGGUUUCCUGGGCGAUGAUGAUCAGCCCAGGGUUAGUCGGGCCUAAGCCGAUGGCGAAAGCCGCAGGCGAUGGACACAUGGUUAAUAUUCCAUGACUUCCGUGUAUUGCGAUGGAGUGACGAAGGGUAGUAUGUCUCGCAUAUUAUUGGAUUUAUGUUCGUGUCGUGAGGACGCUCUUUAGGCAAAUCCGGAGAGCUCACUUUAAUGUGGAUUCCAAGCGAAGCGGAAACUCUGCGGGCAACCGCGGGGGAUGAGACAAAGCACGCUUCCGAGAAAAACUUCUAAGCAUAAAUACAUGGGAACCGUACCGCAAACCGACACAGGUGGUAGGGUCGAGAAGACCAAGGCGAACGAGUGAGAGGUCUCCAAGGAACUCGGCAAAAAAGCGGCCGUAAGUUCGCAAUAAGGCCUCCCUAAGCCGCAAGGUUUAGGGCGCAGCGAAAGAUUCCCUGGCAACUGUUUACCAAAAACACAGCUCCCUGCAAACUCGCAAGAGGAAGUAUAGGGGGUGACGCCUGACCAAUGCCCGAAGGUCAAAUAUCGGUGGUGGUAUGGAGCAAUCUGUACUGCUGGCUGAUAUAAGCCCGGGUCAAUGUCGGCGAUAACUAUAAUCGUCCUAAGGUAGCGCAAUUCCUUGUCUGGUAAGUUCAGACGUGCACGAAUGGCGUAAUGACUGGGGAACUGUCUCGGAGACUCGCUCGGUGAAAAUACAGUGCCGGUGAAGAUGCCGGCUACCUGCAGUUAGACGAAAAGACCCCAGAAGCUUUACUACAACUUGAUAUUGGGUAUGUUUUAGCACUGCGUAGAAUAGAUGGGAGGAUUUGAAGCAAGGGUUUCGGUUCUUGUGGAUCCAACAGUGAAAUACCAUUCUUUGCGGAGGCAUAUUCUAACCCGGACGGCAAAACCGUUCAGAGACAGUAUCUGGUGGGUAGUUUUAGUGGGGCGCUAUCCUCCUAAAAAGUAACGGAGGAGCCUAUUAAGGUCACCUAGUCGCGAAUGGAAACCGUGACGAUAGUGCAUUGGCAUAAGGUGGCUUGACUGCAACGGGUACGUCCGGAGCAGGCACGAAAGUGGAGCAAAGUGAACCGACUCUUCGCGUUAGACGCGGGAGAAGAUUAACGGAUAAAAGUUACUCUGGGGAUAACAGGCUGGUUUCGCCUAAGAGUCCAAAUCGACGGCGAAGUUCGGCACCUCGAUGUCGGCUCAUCUCAGCGCGGGGGUGGAGAAGCUCCCAAGCGUAUGGCUGUUCGCCAUUUAAAGAGGUACGUGAGCUGGGUUCAGACCGUUCAGCAUUUCAUUUAUGUAAAUGGAAGAUUGAACGGUUUGAGCCCCGAGGAAUGACAUAUUCACGGCGGUAUCUUGUAGAAAUACAAGAAGAAGAAGUUGACUAUAUCGGUGAAAGUGCGAAGUGCACCAAUACCGAGGGAAGUUUAUUGAUUGCGAUAGGGGCGGUUAGGUGAGACAUUAUCUUUUUCUCCCAUGAAAAAGUUGCGUCUGGACAACACCUUCCCGCUCCGCCUCUAUCG
rnacentral:rRNA from 1 species